CCUACGGGAGGCAGCAGUGAGGAAUAUUGGUCAAUGGACGAGAGUCUGAACCAGCCAAGUAGCGUGAAGGAUGACUGCCCUAUGGGUUGUAAACUUCUUUUAUAAAGGAAUAAAACGAGGCACGUGUGCCUUUUUGCAUGUACUUUAUGAAUAAGGAUCGGCUAACUCCGUGCCAGCAGCCGCGGUAAUACGGAGGAGCCGAGCGUUAUCCGGAUUUGUUGGGUUUAAAGGGAGCGUAGAUGGGUUGUUAAGUCAGUUGUGAAAGUUUGCGGCUCAACCGUAAAAUUGCAAUUGAUACUGGCAGUCUUGAGUACAGUUGAGGUAGGCGGAAUUCGUGGUGUAGCGGUGAAAUGCUUAGAUAUCACGAAGAACCCCGAUUGCGAAGGCAGCUUACUAAACUGUGACUGACAUUGAUGCUCGAAAGUGUGGGUAUCAAACAGGAUUAGAUACCCGAGUAGUC
rnacentral:rRNA from 1 species